rnacentral:sRNA from 1 species
UCGCUAAAGAAAAUUGUUUCGGCAGCGGC